rnacentral:rRNA from 1 species
GACGUAGGGCGCGAGCGUUGUCCGGAUUUAUUGGGCGUAAAGAGCUCGUAGGCGGCUUGUCGCGUCGAAUGUGAAAAUCUCGGGGGCUCAACUCCGAGCUUGCAUUCGAUACGGGCAGGCUAGAGUUCGGUAGGGGGAGACUGGAAUUCCUGGUGUAGCGGUGAAAAUGCGCAGAUAUCAGGAGGAACACCGGUGGCGAAGGCGGGGUCUCUGGGCCGAUACUGACGCUGAGGAGCGAAAGCGUGGGGGAGCGAACAGG